rnacentral:rRNA from 1 species
UGAGGAAUAUUGGUCAAUGGGCGAAAGCCUGAACCAGCGACGCCGCGUGAGUGAUGAAGGCCUUCGGGUUGUAAAGCUCUGUGGAGAGGAAAGAAAAAAGAAAACCGAAUAAGUUUUCUAAUUGACUGUACCUCUUUAGCAAGCACCGGCUAACUCUGUGCCAGCAGCCGCGGUAAGACAGAGGGUGCAAACGUUGCUCGGAAUUACUGGGCGUAAAGAGCGUGUAGGCGGUCUGGUAAGUCGGUUGUGAAAUCCCUGGACUCAAUCUAGGAACUGCAUCCGAAACUACCAGACUUGAGUAGUGGAGAGGGAAGUGGAAUUCCUGGUGUAGAGGUGAAAUUCGUAGAUAUCAGGAGGAACACCGGUGGCGAAGGCGGCUUCCUGGACACUCACUGACGCUGAGACGCGAAAGCGUGGGGAGCAAACAGGAUUAGAUACCCCCGUAGUCC